GAUGAACGCUGGCGGCGUGCCUAAUACAUGCAAGUCGAACGAAGCCAAUCUGGUGCUUGCACCAGAGAAAGCUUAGUGGCAGACGGGUGAGUAACACGUAGGGAACCUGCCUUCUACACUGGAAUACCUUCGGGAAACUGAAGUUAAUACCAGAUAUGCUGUGAGUACCGCAUGGUACAAACAGGAAAGAUUUUAUCGGUAGAAGAUGGCCCUGCGCCUGAUUAGCUAGUUGGUGAGGUAAAGGCUCACCAAGGCUCCGAUCAGUAGCCGGCCUGAGAGGGUGAUCGGCCACACUGGGACUGAGACACGGCCCAGACUCCUACGGGAGGCAGCAGUAAGGAAUAUUGCACAAUGGGCGCAAGCCUGAUGCAGCAACGCCGCGUGAAGGAAGAAGGCUCUCGGGUCGUAAACUUCUUUAGGCAGGGAAGAAUAAUGACGGUACCUGCAGAAUAAGCCCCGGCUAACUACGUGCCAGCAGCCGCGGUAAUACGUAGGGGGCAAGCGUUAUCCGGAUUUACUGGGUGUAAAGCCUGAGUAGGCGGUUUUUUAAGCCAUGUGUGAAAUUUUGAGGCUCAACCUCAUUUAGCACAAGGAACUGGAGAACUAGAGUAUGGGAGAGGUAAGUGGAAUUCCUAGUGUAGCGGUAAAAUGCGUAGAUAUUAGGAGGAACACCAGUGGCGAAGGCGACUUACUGGACCAAAACUGACGCUGAGUCACGAAAGCGUGGGGAGCAAACAGGAUUAGAUACCCUUGGUAGUCCACGCUGUAAACGAUGAGUACUAGGUGUUGGGAUGAAAAUCUCGGUGCCGUAGCUAACGCAUUAAGUACUCCACCUGGGAAGUACGGUCGCAAGACUGAAACUCAAAGGAAUUGACGGGACCCCGCACAAGCGGUGGAGCAUGUGGUUUAAUUCGAAGCAACGCGAAAAACCUUACCAAGUCUUGACAUCCUUCUGACAGACCUAGAGAUAGGUAAUCCCUUCGGGGCAGGAGAGACAGGUGGUGCAUGGUUGUCGUCAGCUCGUGUCGUGAGAUGUUGGGUUAAGUCCCGCAACGAGCGCAACCCUUGCUUUUAGUAGCCAUCAGGUAAUGCUGGGCACACUAGAGGGACUGCCGCGGAUAACGCGGAGGAAGGUGGGGAUGACGUCAAAUCAUCAUGCCCCUUAUGAUUUGGGCAACACACGUGCUACAAUGGCUGUAACAAAGUGAAGCGAAGCCGCGAGGUGGAGCCAACCACAAAAAAGCAGUCUCAGUUCGGAUUGUAGUCUGCAACUCGACUACAUGAAGCUGGAAUCGCUAGUAAUCGCGAAUCAGCAUGUCGCGGUGAAUACGUUCUCGGG
rnacentral:rRNA from 1 species